rnacentral:rRNA from 1 species
UACGGGGGGGGCAAGCGUUGUUCGGAAUUACUGGGCGUAAAGGGCUCGUAGGUGGCCAACUAAGUCAGACGUGAAAUCCCUCGGCUUAACCGGGGAACUGCGUCUGAUACUGGAUGGCUUGAAUCCGGGAGAGGGAUGCGGAAUUCCCGGUGUAGCGGUGAAAUGCGCAGAUAUCGGGAGGAACACCAAUGGCGAAGGCAGCUCGCUGGGACGGUACUGACGCUGAGACGGCGAAAGCGUGGGGAGCAAACAGG